rnacentral:rRNA from 1 species
UCUGGCUCAGGACGAACGCUGGCGGCGUGCUUAACACAUGCAAGUCGAACGGUGAACGAGGGAGCUUGCUCCCUCCGGAUCAGUGGCGAACGGGUGAGUAACACGUGAGCAAUCUGCCCCGAACUCUGGGAUAAGCGUUGGAAACGACGUCUAAUACCGGAUACGACGCGGGAGGGCAUCCUCUCCGCGUGGAAAGAACUUCGGUUCGGGAUGAGCUCGCGGCCUAUCAGCUUGUUGGUGAGGUAACGGCUCACCAAGGCGACGACGGGUAGCCGGCCUGAGAGGGUGACCGGCCACACUGGGACUGAGACACGGCCCAGACUCCUACGGGAGGCAGCAGUGGGGAAUAUUGCACAAUGGGCGCAAAAGCCUGAUGCAGCAACGCCGCGUGAGGGACGACGGCCUUCGGGUUGUAAACCUCUUUUAGUAGGGAAGAAGCGAAAGUGACGGUACCUGCAGAAAAAGCACCGGCUAACUACGUGCCAGCCGCCGC